rnacentral:rRNA from 1 species
AAUGCAAGUCGAACGGCAAAGGCCCUUCGGGGUACUCGAGUGGCGAACGGGUGAGUAACACGUGGGUGAUCUGCCCUGCACUUUGGGAUAAGCCUGGGAAACUGGGUCUAAUACCGAAUAUGACCAUGCACUUCCUGGUGUGUGGUGGAAAGCUUUUGCGGUGUGGGAUGGGCCCGCGGCCUAUCAGCUUGUUGGUGGGGUAAUGGCCUACCAAGGCGACGACGGGUAGCCGGCCUGAGAGGGUGACCGGCCACACUGGGACUGAGAUACGGCCCAGACUCCUACGGGAGGCAGCAGUGGGGAAUAUUGCACAAUGGGCGCAAG